UCAAAGGCUUCAUUCUCAUGAUUUAGAGAAUUGGGCUAGAGAAGCCACAAAGAUAUUAAAUUAUAUUAUAG
rfam:Loxodonta africana unplaced genomic scaffold scaffold_15, whole genome shotgun sequence.